GAGUUUGAUCGUGGCUCAGAUUGAACGCUGGCGGCAUGCCUUACACAUGCAAGUCGAGCGGCAGCGCGGGGGCAACCCUGGCGGCGAGCGGCGAACGGGUGAGUAAUGCAUCGGAACGUGUCCUCUUGUGGGGGAUAACCAGUCGAAAGACUGGCUAAUACCGCAUGAGAUCGAGAGAUGAAAGCAGGGGACCGCAAGGCCUUGCGCGAGAGGAGCGGCCGAUGCCGGAUUAGCUAGUUGGUGGGGUAACGGCCUACCAAGGCGACGAUCCGUAGCUGGUCUGAGAGGACGACCAGCCACACUGGGACUGAGACACGGCCCAGACUCCUACGGGAGGCAGCAGUGGGGAAUUUUGGACAAUGGGGGCAACCCUGAUCCAGCCAUGCCGCGUGUGUGAAGAAGGCC
rnacentral:rRNA from 1 species